UAGGGUUCACGUAAUUAUUGGACAAUUGGCUUGCCAUAAAUGUGCUUUAUAUCUAAGAUAAACUCUGCCUGACCUUACAUGAACAGCUGGAAGUCAGUGAUGUAACCAUGGGCUGGAAUACCUAAUCAUUGACAGGUCUUAUAUAAUCUAAAUGGCCAGUGUGAAUGGAUAGAGGAUGAGUAAGAACUGCUUGAUCAUUGAUAAUUCAUCCGCAUUGUUCAUGAAUGGGACUAUUUUGUGUAGCACAUGAACAUCCUUUGGAUGUGAUUUGGAAUCAAAUAAAGAUGCUACAUGAUUGUCAGAAAUACACUUAACUAUGGUAGCAGGAUAAACCCGUAACCAAAAAAUCGAAAGAUUUUCCACCUAUGUAUAUUAUUGGAGGGGGAAGAAGCAUUUGUAUAGGCUGGUAUGUCUUCGACAACAAUAUGGCGUCUUCCUCGGCAAUGAAGCAAAGAAGGGGUCAUGUGACCUGUCAUGUGGUCAGUUUUGGCGCGAUCUUUUUGCAUUAGAGCAAUACUGGUCUAUUGGCCUUUGGAAAUUUAUUUAGAUACACCACUUCGAUAUCUAACAUUUUCUCCGAGAAUACGGAAAUGCAUCACAAUGCAUAUUCCUACGAUCAAAAUCAAUAAAUAAAACGACAACCUUUAAUACAACUGUUUUGUUGUACCGUUCCCCCACCUCACUCUCCACUCAGUCUUGCCCACCACCCCGAUCAUGCAUCCCCAUUCCCCACCCCAUUUUUUUUUCAUUUUUAAUUUUCCAUCAAUAUAAUCAACAUGUGAAAUUUUGUACCCUCACCCGGUCACCCCCUCUCCUCCCCCCUCCCACACACACACAAAAACCUUCAUUUUCUGUUUAAAAUGAUUUUGACUAAUGAAAUUAUUUGCUUCUUAGUAACAUCCUUGGAUUUUUGCCAGAUAUAUUUUUUUGCCAUUCCUCACCUCAAGCCCUUUCGGCGGGGGAUACCAAUUCAUCGAAUUUGCUUGUUACUUAAUAUUUUUGACACAGACUCGAGCUAUUGUGCAAUAUCUUCAUCCACCAUUGGAGUCAUUAAACACUCCAGUGACAGCUCCAGUUUCCUCAAAUGUGCCCAGUUUCACUAUUCAGCAUCGAAAUAAUCGAGCGUGCUGUCUCCUGUGACAGCUCUUGUUAUGUUACACUUUUGGACUCAGUAUUGCCAAUUUGGGGCCUAACAUCUUUGACUGACUUAAUUAAGUAAAUGCUAAGGGAGGUAAUUACUGUAUUUUGUGGGUCAGUUUGCAGCAGUGAUGUCCCUUCCUUCUGUAUGUUAUCUAGAUAAUAAGAGGUUAUGUAGAGCAAACUGUUUUUAAAAAGAAACCAGUUCAUGUAUGCACUCAGUCAAGUGUUUAGUCUGAACCUUUAAACCAAAGGUAGCUAAUAUUUCUUUUAUAAUUUGUCUAAAAAUGGUAUGUGUUCCACUUAUGCAGGAAAGUUGUGAGAUACUGAAUAAGAAAUUAGUACUGACGUCACGAAGCUGCCCAAAGCAAAGGGUUAUGUUACAGCAAACAAACAAAUUUUAAACACUAUCCUCAGAUUUAUAUUUCAUAUUAAAAGAGUAAAAGGAGAGACUUGUCUGUGUUUCUUUCUAGAUUUUUACAAUAUUUGCAGGGUUAUGAUGUAUUUAAUAGUGUCAUUUAAUGUAGUUUAUAUCUGACUUUUGAUUUUAAUACUUGUACCAUGUGUCUUAGAUACAGGUGUGUAUUAAAUUGUAGUCACACUAUUUUUUUCAGAAUGAAGUACUAUCUUAUUGUUCUUGACUAUAACCAUUUGAUGCCUACAAGAAACCUGAACUGCUUGAUCCCACAGUCUUAAACAUGUGAUAAUAUAAGAUUCUUUCACUGGUUGUAGGUGCAUGUGGGAAUUUCCGGCCUUGAGGGUAACUGUUUAGGCGGUAACGAGGUUCCUACCAAGUUACCGCCUAAACAGUUACCUGAGAGCCAGAUAUUCCCAUCUGAACCUAUAACCAGUGACAGAAUCUUUUUCUUGCAUACCGAUAUAAAGAUGUAAUAAUAAAAAUAAAAUCGGGGUGUAAGAUGGAUUUUUCCAGCACCGGUAAAAAUACAGGAAAUCCCCGUCUGGUAUGCAAGAAAGUCAAAUCUUACUGCUGUUGACUAUAACCAUUGGAUACCUGAACUACAGUGAUCCCACAGUCUUAUCAAGGGGCAGGAUGUGAAGUGGUUGCACACUUGGUUCAAGCGAGCAAAAUGGUUGCAAACAUACAAAAUGGCGGAUAUUUUCUGAAAUCAUCGCAUGUUCGCUUGUUUUUUUUAUCAGAUCUUUUCAAGUCUAGAUGCUAUGAACAUCAGAUGCUAUUAUGACCCGAGAGCAUGAACAUGAAUCUUUGUUUGCUGAACAAACUAUGCUAACACGUAUAUCAGAAAUAACCCUUAGAGUUUAACCAAAGGAAAGGAAGCGUACCAAAGUAUUGAACAUUAAGAACAUUGAAUGAUAUACCAAGAGGUGUUCGACACAGUUAAAUCACAUUACAAAGUUGAAGAGUCUGCUAAGACUAUAUAUGAGCGAAUACAGCACAACAGUUACGCUGUGGAGGCAGUAAACAGUUUUGAGCUGUUACGUGUCGAAUUGGCCAGGGUCAAAUUUACAAAUAAGAGGCAAUUUACGGAUUGAAGUGGAUAUUUGAAGUUUAAAAUAAUGAUAAUUGCUAGAAUUGAAGUUUCAGCGGCUAGAAUUGAGUUUCAGUUAUUUAAAGAAAAUCAGCUGAGUAGCCUUGAUCUUGAUAGUAUGACGUAAUGACUUGCAGGUUUGUGGUUACAGACUUUUGUGUGAGGUUUUGAAAGUUGGGUAGGCGACUCUAGGCCGAGAAGCUCAGAAAACUGAUUGCCUCCUGUAUACAGUGGAUUGAAAUUGAUAAACUAUAACAAGAAAAUGUUCGGCUGCCAUUAAAUCUGUCUUCUCUACAAAUGAACAAACAUAAUUAUGAUGUUUUUU